ACGUGCCAGCAGCCGCGGUAAUACGUAGGGGCCAAACGUUGUCCGGAUUUAUUGGGCGUAAAGGGCUCGUAGGCGGUUCAACAAGUCGGUCGUGAAAACCCGGGGCUCAACCCCGGAACGCCGGUCGAAACUGUUGUGACUAGGGUCCGGUAGAGGUGAGUGGAAUUCUCGGUGUAGCGGUGGAAUGCGCAAAUAUCGAGAGGAACACCAGUAGCGAAGGCGGCUCACUGGGCCGGUACCGACGCUGAGGAGCGAAAGCAUGGGGAGCAAACAGGAUUAAAUACCCUGGUAGUCCAUGCCGUAAACGAUGAACACUAGGUGUGGCGGAUUCAUUGACAUCUGCCGUGCCGUCGCUAACGCAUUAAGUGUUCCGCCUGGGGAGUACGGCCGCAAGGCUAAAACUCAAAGGAAUUGACGGGGCCCCGCACAAGCGGCGGAGCAUGCGGCU
rnacentral:rRNA from 1 species